UACGGAGGGUGCAAGCGUUUGUCCGGAUUUAUUGGGUUUAAAGGGUGCGUAGGCGGCCCGGUAAGUCAGUGGUGAAAGCCUCCAGCUCAACUGGAGAACUGCCAUUGAUACUGCCGGGCUUGAGUACAGACGAGGUUGGCGGAAUUGAUUGUGUAGCGGUGAAAUGCAUAGAUACAAUCAAGAACUCCGAUUGCGUAGGCAGCUAACUAGGCUGUAACUGACGCUGAGGCACGAAAGCGUGGGGGAGCGAACAGG
rnacentral:rRNA from 1 species